rnacentral:rRNA from 1 species
UAAUACAGAGGUGCCGAGCGUUAGGCGGAAUCACUGGGCUUAAAGCGUGUGUAGGCGGACUUCUAAGUACCUUGUGAAAUCCCACGGCUCACCCGUGGAACUGCUGGGUAUACUGGUCGUCUUGAGCCACCUAGGGGCGAGCGGAACAAAUGGUGGAGCGGUGAAAUGCGUAGAUAUCAUUUGGAACGCCAACGGUGAAAACAGCUCGCUGGGGGUGUGCUGACGCUGAGACACGAAAGCCAGGGGAGCGAACGGGAUUAGAUACCCCGGUAGUCCUGGCCGUAAACGAUGUCGACUAGAUCGCAGAUCCUCUGACGGAUUUGCGGUCGAAGCAAAAGUGCUAAGUCGACCGCCUGGGAAGUACGGUCGCAAGGCUA